UUCCAUCUCAAGAAACCACGUUGCUCGUCCACAAGAAGCAACUCUUCGUCCAUUGAAGUUUUUUCAUGAGAUCACAGCAAUUCAGUUUCAUUUUCAGGCUCCACUUCUAAUCCUGGUUCUCUUGCUAUUUCCACCACAUCUGCAGUUACUUCCUCCAGUGAAGUCAUGAGCCCCUCAAAGUCAUCUGUGAAGGUAUUUUACCCCCCAGCCUUCUAAGAUGGUAACCCAACUGGUGUCUAGAAGAUAAUUGCCUUUGAGGUUGUUUGACUUUCAUGAGAUGAAGCAAUUUCAAGUGUGACUCAUUUUAUCGCUUGACCUGAGAGCUUGCCCCAACUCCUUUAUCUCCUCACCAUUUCUUCUCUGACGGAUGUCUCAGAUACAUCGCUUGAAUGUUCCAUCCCACCUUGGUGUCUCCUUUUGGAGGGCCUGAACUAAUGCAUAUAACACUGAUCCAAGAAAGCAGUGGUAUCAUACUAUUGAGUGGUACGCUGCUUGCCUUUGGUUUUCUAGUCAUAUGAGAUAAUGAAAUCUCUUUGUUAUUUUUUAAAAAAUGUUUUUAUUGUGAGUUGUAACCUGCAUAUGGGGAUAUGCAGAAAGUAAAAUUGUACAGUGUCAUGAAUUAUCAUUAAGUAAAUGCUUAUGAAACCACCAGCAAGGUCAUGAAAUAAGACAUUUCUAGAACCUAGAAGGUCUACUAAUGUCUCCUUCUAAACAGUACUUUCUCUUUCAAUGAAGGAAACUAUCUACUAGCUUAUGAUAACAUUUUCCUUAUGUUUAUUUAUAUUUUCCCACCAAACCAGCAUGCAUACAUGCAUCCCCAAAUAAUGUACUUUAAUUUUGACUUCUAUUUAGCUCCGUAUAAAUGGAAUUUUUCUAUGUAUUUCAUGUCUGUCAUCUUCUACUCAUUAUGUUCCUGACAUUCAUCUAAGCUCUAUUAUUGUAUUUGUAGUUUAAAAACU